rnacentral:rRNA from 1 species
AGUCUUUGGCAUAACACCCUGAACGCGCCUGAUCUCAUCUGAUCUUGGAAGCUAAGCAGGGUCAGUCCUGGUUAGUACUUGGAUGGAAGACAGAUCUUCAAAAGAGACUGCUCAAAGACAA